rnacentral:rRNA from 1 species
GUGCCAGCAGUCGCGGUAAUACCGGCAGCCCAAGUGAUAACCGAUCUUAUUGGGCCUAAAGCGUCCGUAGCUGGCUGCGCAAGUCCGUCGGGAAAUCCACUCGCCCAACGAGUGGGCGUCCGACGGAAACUGCACAGCUUGGGACCGGAAGGCUCGAAGGGUACGGCCGGGGUAGGAGUGAAAUCCUGUAAUCCCGUCCGGACCACCGAUGGCGAAAGCACUUCGAGAAAACGGAUCCGACAGUGAGGGACGAAAGCUAAGAUCGCGAACCGGAUUAGAAACCCUGGUAGUCC